rnacentral:rRNA from 1 species
GACAGAGGGUGCAAACGUUGUUCGGAAUUACUGGGCGUAAAGCGCGUGUAGGCUGCUCGGAAAGUCGGAUGUGAAAGCCCUGGGCUCAACCUAGGAAGUGCAUUCGAAACUUCCGAGCUGGAGUGCUGGAGAGGAAGGCGGAAUUCUCGGUGUAGAGGUGAAAUUCGUAGAUAUCGAGAGGAACACCGGUGGCGAAGGCGGCCUUCUGGACAGCGACUGACGCUGAGGCACGAAAGCGUGGGGAGCAAACAGG